UGAAGUUUAUUAUUUUAUUGUGUCUAACAUUUUUUACUCAAUCAGUCAACUGUGUUGUGAAGAUAACAAAACAGGAAAAACAGGCUCUAGAUGUCGCUUUUAAAGAGGUUUUAAAUUGUAUCAAUGCUGACCAUACUGAUGUAUCCCAACAAAAUGCCAUAACAGUUUAUCAGUUUUUAGAAUUUGUGGGUAGCUUAACAGGUACCAGAGAUUAUGUGAUGAUGGCGGUAACCAAAUAUUUUCGUCGCAGUCUGGACGAAACAGUGCUAUAUAACCAAAUGAUAGAAGUAGAUGAAUUUGAGGGACUUGUAACAACUGUUAGUAAAACAUUAGAAAAAGAAAUAAACGAUUACGUAGGUCUUAUAAGGGAAGCAAUAUCUAUAAAACACGCUGAGGUUAUACGAUUGAAGAAUCAAAAUCUUUGUAAAACUGACAAAUGUUAAU